rnacentral:rRNA from 1 species
AGCCAUGCCGCGUGUGUGAAGAAGGCCUUUUGGUUGUAAAGCACUUUAAGCGAGGAGGAGGCUACUUGGAUUAAUACUCUAGGAUAGUGGACGUUACUCGCAGAAUAAGCACCGGCUAACUCUGUGCCAGCAGCCGCGGUAAUACAGAGGGUGCGAGCGUUAAUCGGAUUUACUGGGCGUAAAGCGUGCGUAGGCGGCUUCUUAAGUCGGAUGUGAAAUCCCUGAGCUUAACUUAGGAAUUGCAUUCGAUACUGGGAAGCUAGAGUAUGGGAGAGGAUGGUAGAAUUCCAGGUGUAGCGGUGAAAUGCGUAGAGAUCUGGAGGAAUACCGAUGGCGAAGGCAGCCAUCUGGCCUAAUACUGACGCUGAGGUACGAAAGCAUGGGGAGCAAACAGGAUUAGAUACCCUGGUAGUCCAUGCCGUAAACGAUGUCUACUAGCCGUUGGGGCCUUUGAGGCUUUAUGUGGCGCAGCUAACGCGAUAAGUAGACCGCCUGGGGAGUACGGUCGCAAGA